rnacentral:rRNA from 1 species
GAUGAACGCUGGCGGCGUGCCUAAUACAUGCAAGUCGAGCGAACGGACGAGAAGCUUGCUUCUCUGAUGUUAGCGGCGGACGGGUGAGUAACACGUGGAUAACCUACCUAUAAGACUGGGAUAACUUCGGGAAACCGGAGCUAAUACCGGAUGAUAUUUUGAACCGCAUGGUUCAAAAGUGAAAGACGGUCUUGCUGUCACUUAUAGAUGGAUCCGCGCUGCAUUAGCUAGUUGGUAAGGUAACGGCUUACCAAGGCAACGAUGCAUAGCCGACCUGAGAGGGGGAUUGGGCCCAACGGAAAGGGGAACACGGCCAGGAUCCCAAGGGAAGGCGGAGGAGGGGAUGCUACGCAAUGGGGGAAAGGCCGGAGGAGGAAACGCGGGGGAGGGAAGAAGGGUCUUCGAUCGUAAAACUCUGUUAUUAGGGAAGAACAUAUGUGUAAGUAACUGUGCACAUCUUGACGGUACCUAAUCAGAAAGCCACGGCUAACUACGUG